rnacentral:rRNA from 1 species
GAUACUAUAGCUCGAUUGAUUUACUUUGCUGUGAG